rnacentral:rRNA from 1 species
GACGUAGGAGGCGAGCGUUGUCCGGAUUCAUUGGGCGUAAAGAGCACGCAGGCGGUUUCGGGAAGUCGGAUGUGAAAACUCGGGAGCUCAACUCCGAGCGUGCAUCCGAAACUCUCGGACUAGAGGUAGGUAGGGGAGAUCGGAAUUCCUGGUGUAGCGGUGAAAUGCGCAGAUAUCAGGAGGAACACCGGUGGCGAAGGCGGGUCUCUGGGCCGAUACUGACGCUGAGGAGCGAAAGCGUGGGGAGCGAACAGG